GCCACGGGCGCCGCGGCCGGUGAGGCGGCCGGGCUCAGCACCCCGUCGCGCUCCAGGUGGGCGCGGGCCGCCCCGAUCGCCUCGGGGGUGGUGGCG
rnacentral:tRNA from 1 species